rnacentral:rRNA from 1 species
CUUCCCAUACGGGUUGAAGCAUGACCGUAAGGACAUGUGGACAGUAUGGGAGUGAGAAUGUUGGCAUGAGUAGCGAGAUGUGGGUGAGAAUCCCACAGGCCGUAAACCCAAGGUUUCCAGGGGAAGGGUCGUCCGCCCUGGGUUAGUCGGGACCUAAGCUGAGGCCGAAAGGCGUAGGUGAUGGACAACAGGUUGAUAUUCCUGUACUACCGAUAACCGUUUGAGAGAAGGGAUGACACAGUAGGAUAAGCUAAGCACACUGUUGGUUAU